UACGUAGGGGGCGAGCGUUGUCCGGAGUUACUGGGCGUAAAGCGCACGCAGGCGGUCUGCUAAGUUUGGAAGUGACAGUUGGUGGCUUAACUGCCAAAGUGCUUCGAAAACUGACAGACUUGAGGGCUUCAGAGGGACACGGAAUUCCGGGUGGAGUGGUGGAAUGCGUAGAAGAUCGGAAGAACACCGGUGGCGAAGGCGGCCUGCUGGGCUAAUGGGCUGACACUGG
rnacentral:rRNA from 1 species